rnacentral:rRNA from 1 species
AACGAACGCUGGCGGCAUGCCUAACACAUGCAAGUCGAACGAGAACUUCGGGUCUAGUGGCGAACGGGUGCGUAACGCGUGGGAUCAUGCCCUUAUGAUCGGCCUAACUCUCCGAAAGGGGUGCUAAUACCUGAUAAUGUUAUCGGACAGAAGAUGUGUCUCCUUUGGUUGGGCGCGCGUUGGAUUAGCUUGUUGGUAGGGUAAAAGCCUACCAAGGCGACGAUCCAUAGCUGGUCUGAGAGGAGGAUCAGCCACACUGGGACUGAGACACGGCCCAGACUCGUACGGGAAGCAGCAGUGGGGAAUAUAGGACAAUGGGCGAAAUCCUGAGCCGGCAAUGCCGGGUGAGUGAUGAAGGCCUUAGAGUUGUAAAGCUCUUGUACCCGGGAUGAUAAUGACAGUACCGAGAUAAUAAGCUCCGGCUAACUCCGUG